UGGUGGGGGAGCAGGUGCUAGCCCGCUGCCCUGGCUUCAGUGGUCUGUACUGGGGGGUUGUGGAAGGCAUAAGCGAGCAUAAAGAUAUUUUAGAGAAAAGGCUGCAGGAAAAUAGACAACUCUUUGAGAAGCUAAAAGAAGAACCAGCAGUGCACAGUGGGCUGCCAUCCCAACCUAAAAAAUCAAGGAAGUCUUUUCCAAAAU